AGUGGGGAAUAUUGGACAAUGGGCGAAAGCCUGAUCCAGCAAUGCCGCGUGAGUGAUGAAGGCCUUAGGGUUGUAAAGCUCUUUUACCUGGGAUGAUAAUGACAGUACCAGGAGAAUAAGCCCCGGCUAACUCCGUGCCAGCAGCCGCGGUAAUACGGAGGGGGCUAGCGUUGUUCGGAAAUACUGGGCGUAAAGCGCACGUAGGCGGCUCAGCAAGUCAGGGGUGAAAUCCCGGGGCUCAACCCCGGAACUGCCCUUGAAACUGCUAGGCUAGAAUCUUGGAGAGGCGAGUGGAAUUCCGAGUGUAGAGGUGAAAUUCGUAGAUAUUCGGAAGAACACCAGUGGCGAAGGCGACUCGCUGGACAAGUAUUGACGCUGAGGUGCGAAAGCGUGGGGAGCAAA
rnacentral:rRNA from 1 species